AGCCACAGCCAUGUCACCCUACAGCCCAAGAGCGGUUACUCGCUAAAGGUAAGCAGGGCUGAGCCUGAUUAGUGCCUGGAUGAGAGACCACAUGGGAAAACGAGGAUGCUGUUGGAA
ensembl:rRNA 5S_rRNA 5S ribosomal RNA